UACGUAGGGUGCGAGCGUUAAUCGGAAUUACUGGGCGUAAAGCGUGCGCAGGCGGUGAUGUAAGACCGAUGUGAAAUCCCCGGGCUUAACCUGGGAACUGCAUUGGUGACUGCAUUGCUGGAGUAUGGCAGAGGGGGGUGGAAUUCCACGUGUAGCAGUGAAAUGCGUAGAGAUGUGGAGGAACACCGGUGGCGAAGGCGGCAUCCUGGACCAACACUGACGCUGAGGAGCGAAAGCCAGGGGAGCAAACGGG
rnacentral:rRNA from 1 species